rnacentral:lncRNA from 12 species
GGGGGGGGGGGGGGGGGGGGGGGGGGGGGGGGGGGGGGGGGGGGGGGGGGGGGGGGGGGGGGGGGGACUUUUUUCCUUUUUUUUUUUUUUUUACUUUUCCUUUAAAUGUAAACUAAUUUUUCUCUUGCUUGCUUUUUUGUUUUUGUUUAGAAUCCUUUAAUUAAGCAAGAGUACUGUGUUUUGCUAUUUCAAGUUAUUUGAAGACUGUCACAGAGAAAGAUUUUUUAUAAAAUCAGAUGAAGUCACCAGAUAUCCCAACAUCCUUUUACUCCUGCAAGUUGCUGUUGUGAAUCUUAAAGCCUCUGAGCUGUGCAGAUACUUUUGAGUGUCACCAAGGCUAAAGGUUCCCUGUCACCAUCACAGCGUAGUAAGUGUGAUCUAACAGCUUUCCUACUAAUUUGAUCCUCGUUUUAACAGAUGGCUUUCCCAUUAAUCUCUAGCCUUUGGUGGCUAUGUUGUUGUUACCAUAUUGU